AGCAGCUUCACAUAUUUGGGGAUUACAACUGUCAAAUCCUUACUGUUGAAAAAGCAGCAAAUAAACUCAGCUAGAAAGAACAAUACAAGGUACAACUAGAAGACUGACUUAACUAAGUCUGUGAGUUCUAUCAAAGGAAAAAAGUAGAACGACUAUCAGUAAACUUUCAGAUGCAGUAAAGGAAAACCCAAAGGCACUGAAAAUACUCAUUAGUCAGAGGAACAUGACCAAAGUGUUGCAACAAUCAGAUUGUACGCAUUGCUACAAUCAGCUGCCACCUCAUCUCUAAUGUAGAUGCUGAAAUACCGAUACUACAGCAGG